GUAUAGGUUACUAUGAUAACUGUGCCCUCUUUCCAUGCAGGGGGGAGGUAAUUGCCAAAGCUGGAUCAGAGGAAUCCGUUGUAUAUGCUGACAUAGACCUGCAGUAUUUGGCUGAUAUGCGUCAGCAGAUCCCAAUCACCACACAGCGACGGAAUGAUCUAUAUAGUGUUAAUAGUGUUCAGGAUGGCUGAACUCUCGUUCACACGAAGCACUGCAGUGGACAUUUAAUCUUGAUAUAAGAAAGACUAAGUCAGCACAUUGGGUUAGACACAAGUCUUCUUUAGUGUAAUGUGGGGCAUCGCACACAAAGAUGUUUUAAUGAUUGCGAACAACAAGUGCCUCACAAUUUGUAUUCCUUUGCUGAUUCUUUUACAACAGAAAUUAUAUUUGUAAUAGAUAAGAGGUUUUUCAGUGGUGAAAACAUUGGACGGUUAUGCCGUGAAAAAUAUUAAGCAUGAUGUUAAGUUGUUGAUAUUAUCAAGUGGUUUCCAAAUAAAAAUAAUUAGAUUUUAUACUGUAAUUGUAUUAAAAAAGAGAUUUACUUCA